ensembl:lncRNA
CUCUGAGAUAAGCCCUGUCUCAGCAGAACAAAGUUGAAAAAAGGAAGCUGGAUUCUGCCCUGGAAGGCCCGAAGUCAAGUGGUGGUUUUUCCACUUGCUGACUGCAGCACCUAGGAGUCAUUCCUCUACGGGUCAGGGCACCAGCUUGUCCAGACUUGGAGUUAUGGGGCCAGAAGGACGCACAUUUCCAUGACUCGGAUAGGCGUUGCCAGAGCGCCCUUCUGAGAGGUCGAACCUGACGCCACCCCCCCAACAGCGCGGAGUCAGCGUUUCUCUCUCCCCGCUGACGUCUGCAGGUGGAGAUCCACAGGCUCGGAACUCUCUCCAGCUGCUGGUCCUGCAACCAUAUCCCCGAAGGCCCCAGGACUCCAGUUCCUCUUCUCCCAAUCCCCACCCCAAAGUACCCGAGAGAACCAGUCACCAGGCAGAUCCAGGGUCCCAAUGCCACCUGGCGUGGCCACCAGCAGACUCCAACCCCGCUCCCCUUCCACGUGGGCGCCUGAAUACCUCUUCUCGAGGCCCGCAGCCCCCACCUCUUGACGGGACAGCGAGCUUCUGAGUUAUCGGCAGCCUUAUUUCCCUCUACAGCUCCUACAGAGUUAACAGAUGUACGCACGUCUGAGGCAGUCAUGCGGCUGCCUUUGCCCUGGUGUACCGGGAGCUGGCCUGCGUCUCACCCUUCCUCGGAGAGGUCACUUGAAGCAGGGUCCUCCUGGGUUUAUGGUCCCCUCUUCUCCUCCUCAAGGCUUCCCUGGUAGUUCAGUGGUAAAGAAGCUGCCUGUCAAGGCAGGAGACACAGGUUCGAUCCCUGGAUCGGGAAGAUCCCCUGGAGGAGGAAAUGGCAACCCACUCCAGUAUUCUCACCUGGGAAAUCCCUUGAACAGAAGAGCCUGGCAGGCUACAGUCCAUGAGGUCCUAAGAGUCAGAUGUGACUUAGUGGCUCAACAACUUCUCCUCCUCCUCUGCCCAAGUUGUCACACUCUCUGUCCCAAGAGGAAACUCUCACGGGAAUCUGAAGACCAGUCUUCUUGUCUAGCUCUGCUACUGCCCACAGGGAGUCCACGGGCAGCGACCCCUUAAAGCUCUCGCUGGCCUGUGACCAGGUCACCUUCCCUUUCACUUUGGCCCUGGUGCUCCUGGAGCCACGUCCCCCUGGCUGACCCGGCCCCGCGAGGGGGGACCCUGUCUCCCGCAGCCUCAGGACAUCUAAGCAAACCAGACAUGCUGCUCAGUUGGUUCUCUGUGCAUCAUCUGGGCCUGAGCUAUUGAAAGUGCUUUGAAAAAGGAUAAACCCUUGAUUCAACAACAGCUACAUUUUCUUUUUUUUGAGCUACAGCCAUGUGCCACGCCCAUGUAGGCCCAUGGGCAUAUUUCCUGAACUCUUGGAAGCUGGUAUCAUUAUUCCCAAAGAUUAAAGUAGGCAAUGGAGGCUCAGAGUGGUUGCAGGAUUUUCUCAAAGUGCCUCAGCUAGGAAGUGGCAGAGCUGGAACUUGAAUUCAAAUAGUAACAAUCAACUAUAAUAAUAGCAGCUAACAUGUGACAGGGGCACCCUGAGCCUUUUAAACAUUGCCUCAUUAAUCUCUCCCAGUGGCCCUGUGGGGUAGAUAUGCUUCACAUUCCCAUUUUACAGACAAAGAAGUAAGUCUCAGGAAGAUGGAACGACUGGCCUGAAGUCAUGACGCUAGGAAGUGACAGAGCUGGUCUUGAACCCCGGUCUGCCUGAAGCCAAUGCCUGCGCUGAGCAUUUGACUGUUGCUCUCACCCCUGUGCUCCUUGUCACACCUCUGUGGCUCCACAUCGCUGGCAGCGAGGCUGAUGAAGCAGGCAGCCCCAUGCAUGGAUUCGCUCCUGCAGCGGGUGCUAUACUGGAGAGCUAAGAGCAAGGGUUCUUCACUGGGGCUUCCACAGAGCUCUUCAGGUUGUACACAGACUGUGAACACCUGUGUGUCUGUGUCUAUCCAGGGAGAAGGUGCACAGAGCCUUCAUCCCAAGUCUCUGAAUCUGGGGACUUCCCGGGUGGUCCAGUGGUUAAGACUCGUCGCUCCCC